UGCGUUGCUCAGUUGUGGAACGACGGACGUCGAGGUGAUACGGGUGGAAUUUCGUAUUCUACCUAGACGUCCGAUGAUGAAACUAUUAUAGUUAUAUGCAAUCCAAUGAGUCAAAUAUGAGUAAGCGGAAGAAAAGGAAAAAGCAGCAUACAAAAUUCUUUAAUAAAAAACUCUCAAAGCAUCGUUACGUAUAUUUAAUUACAGAUAUAUGCGAAACCUAAAUUUAUUUAGAUUCAUUAUGUAAAAACGGGAUAUCAGCAAAAUAUCAUAUGUCGAGUGGAAUAACCUAUUGUAAAAAGUGAACUACAAAGCAAAUUAUGUAACUAUCAAAUAACCGAGUUCUCUGAAAGCGCUCAAGACAAUUAGUGGAAUGCUACAGUUGUCAUCAAACGGGUGUUGGGGUCGUCUGUUCAGCAGACUUCAGAGGGCUGUAGUGGCAAGACAGGGCACCGGUGAAGUAAAAGUGUUGCCAUAAUAUUACAGACUCUAAAGCAUUUCGGAAAUAUAGGCUUUUAAGAAUAUAUUGAAUCUUCGUGUAAACAUU